CGAGCACGCGCGUGUGGCAUAUCAAUAAGCGGAGGAAAAGAAACUAACAAGGAUUCCCUUAGUAACGGCGAGUGAAGCGGGAAGAGCUCAAAUUUGAAAUCUUCAAGGUUCUACCUUGACGAAUUGUAGUUUAUAGAAGUGUUUUCUGUUAGUGGAGUGGCAAAAGUUCUUUGGAAUAGGACAUCAUAGAGGGUGAGAAUCCCGUAUUUGGUCAUUCCUCCUAGCGUUGUGAUACACUUUCAACGAGUCGGAUUGUUUGGGAAUGCAGUCCAAAAUGGGUGGUAAAUUUCAUCUAAAGCUAAAUAUUGGCGAGAGACCGAUAGCGAACAAGUACCGUGAGGGAAAGAUGAAAGGAACUUUGAAAAGAGAGUUAAACAGUACGUGAAAUUGUCAAAAGGGAAGCGUUUGACACCAGUGUUGUUUUUCCGAAAAUCAAUUACGAAUGUUUUAUUUUUGAGGAGUUAUGACUUCAUCGGCUUGCUCCUUUCUUUACUGAAACUUUCUUAAUGCACUUUUCGGUUAACAAGUCAACAUCAAUUUCUUUUGUUGUAAAAGGGUAUGAGGAAGGUGGCUUUCUUUUCGGAGAAAGUGUUUAUAGCCUUGUGCCUCUGCAAUCGGAGAGAUUGAGGUCUGCAGCGUAGAUCCUUCGGGGUUAGAUACGUUUGUGCUAAGUUAUAGCUUUUCAUAGACAACUUGUUGACUAUGUUUAGUCUUGUAGCUUACUCGCUGAUGCUAUUUUACCUACGCUUAGGAUGUUGAACUCUAUCACACACAG
rnacentral:rRNA from 1 species